rnacentral:rRNA from 1 species
GUGGGGAAUAUUGGACAAUGGGCGAAAGCCUGAUCCAGCCAUGCCGCGUGUGUGAAGAAGGUCUUCGGAUUGUAAAGCACUUUAAGUUGGGAGGAAGGGCAGUAAGUUAAUACCUUGCUGUUUUGACGUUACCGACAGAAUAAGCACCGGCUAACUUCGUGCCAGCAGCCGCGGUAAUACGAAGGGUGCAAGCGUUAAUCGGAAUUACUGGGCGUAAAGCGCGCGUAGGUGGUUCGUUAAGUUGGAUGUGAAAGCCCCGGGCUCAACCUGGGAACUGCAUCCAAAACUGUCGAGCUAGAGUACGAUAGAGGGUAGUGGAAUUUCCUGUGUAGCGGUGAAAUGCGUAGAUAUAGGAAGGAACACCAGUUGCGAAGGCGACCACCUGGACUGAUACUGACACUGGGGUGCGAAAGCGUAGGGAGCAAACAGGAUUAGAAACCCUAGUAGUCC